rnacentral:rRNA from 1 species
UACAGAGGGGGCAAGCGUUGUUCGGAAUUACUGGGCGUAAAGGGCGCGUAGGCGGCCUGUUAAGUCGAACGGUGAAAUCCCUGGGCUCAACCCAGGAACUGCGUCCGAUACUGGCAGGCUUGAAUUCGGGAGAGGGAUGCGGAAUUCCAGGUGUAGCGGUGAAAUGCGUAGAUAUCUGGAGGAACACCGGUGGCGAAGGCGGCAUCCUGGACCGAUAUUGACGCUGAGGCGCGAAAAGCCAGGGGGAGCAAACGGGG